rnacentral:rRNA from 1 species
GAAUGCUGACAUAAGUAACGAUAAAGCGGGUGAAAAGCCCGCUCGCCGGAAGACCAAGGGUUCCUGUCCAACGUUAAUCGGGGCAGGGUGAGUCGACCCCUAAGGCGAGGCCGAAAGGCGUAGUCGAUGGGAAACAGGUUAAUAUUCCUGUACUUGGUGUUACUGCGAAGGGGGGACGGAGAAGGCUAUGUUGGCCGGGCGACGGUUGUCCCGGUUUAAGCGUGUAGGCUGGUUUUCCAGGCAAAUCCGGAAAAUCAAGGCUGAGGCGUGAUGACGAGGCACUACGGUGCUGAAGCAACAAAUGCCCUGCUUCCAGGAAAAGCCUCUAAGCAUCAGGUAACAUCAAAUCGUACCCCAAACCGACACAGGUGGUCAGGUAGAGAAUACCAAGGCGCUUGAGAGAACUCGGGUGAAGGAACUAGGCAAAAUGGUGCCGUAACUUCGGGAGAAGGCACGCUGAUAUGUAGGUGAAGCGACUUGCUCGUGGAGCUGAAAUCAGUCGAAGAUACCAGCUGGCUGCAACUGUUUAUUAAAAACACAGCACUGUGCAAACACGAAAGUGGACGUAUACGGUGUGACGCCUGCCCGGUGCCGGAAGGUUAA